GGGCUGCCGUGCUGCUCGGCGGCGCUGAGGCCAAAUAGUUGCAUCACAUGUAUCUAAUCCGAGAGUCUCAUGCUUCUGGUAGCUCCUCAGUGACCAGCUCCUGCUCACUGCCCUCAGAAAGCCCAACCCUCAGGCAAUGGCGGCCUUGUUCCUGUCUGCCCCACCCCAGGUGAGUGUCUGUCCUGCUGGGAGGAGUGAAGUUUUUACCCAGGGCUUUCCUUGGCAAACACUGCUAGGUGUAUCUGGUUUGGGGUGCUGACAUGAUGGUAGGGGUGGCCCUGAGACCCCCAUGCAGCCACCCCUUGGGAUGUAUUAGCUGGCUCGGUGGCAGAUGGGUCAGGCCACCCACUGUGCUGCUGCCUUCAGCAUGCUUCUGCUGCCUCCCCGCCCCUACCAGCCCACUCUGGACCACACCUGGGCUGCAGUAGUCCCUGUCAUUCCAGGCCGAGGUGACCUUCGAGGACGUGGCUGUGUACCUCUCCCGGGAGGAAUGGGGCCGCCUGGGCCCUGCUCAGAGGGGCCUCUACAGGGACGUGAUGCUGGAGACCUACGGGAACCUAGUCUCACUGGCUCUUGGGACCAGAACUGAGUACAAGGAGUUGACUUCACAGGAGACAUUUGGUGAGGAAGAUCCCCAGGGAUCUGAGCCAGUAGAAGCCUGUGACCACAUCAGGAAGUCAGAGGGGAGCCUGGAAAAGCUAGUGGAGCAGAGAGGCCCCAGGGCAGUCACACUGACCAAUGGGGAGAGCAGCAGGGAGUCUGGGGGAAACCUCAGGUUGCUGUCAAGACCUGUUCCUGAUCAGAGACCUCACAAAUGUGAUAUAUGUGAGCAAAGUUUUGAACAGAGAUCAUAUCUCAACAACCAUAAGCGUGUACACAGGUCAAAAAAAACAAAUACAGUUCGUGACUCUGGGGAAAUCUUCAGUGCAAACGUAGUUGUUAAAGAUCAGAAAAUUCCUACUGGGAAAAAAUUGCAUUAUUGCAGUUACUGUGGGAAAACAUUCAGGUACAGUGCCAACCUUGUCAAGCAUCAGCGGCUUCACACUGAAGAGAAGCCCUACAAAUGUGAUGAGUGUGGGAAAGCCUUCAGCCAGAGCUGCGAGUUCAUCAAUCACCGAAGGAUGCACUCAGGAGAGAUUCCCUACCGGUGUGACGAGUGUGGGAAGACAUUCACCCGGAGGCCCAACCUCAUGAAGCACCAGAGGAUUCACACUGGGGAGAAACCCUACAAGUGUGGGGAGUGUGGGAAGCACUUUAGCGCCUACUCUUCCCUGAUUUAUCACCAGAGAAUCCACACCGGAGAGAAACCCUAUAAAUGUAAUGACUGCGGGAAAGCCUUCAGUGAUGGCUCAAUCCUUAUCCGACAUCGUCGGACUCACACCGGAGAGAAGCCAUUUGAGUGCAAGGAAUGUGGCAAAGGCUUUACACAAAGUUCUAACCUUAUCCAACAUCAGAGAAUUCACACUGGAGAGAAACCCUAUAAAUGUAAUGAAUGUGAGAAAGCUUUCAUUCAAAAAACCAAACUCGUGGAACAUCAGAGAAGCCACACUGGAGAGAAGCCCUAUGAAUGCAAUGACUGUGGCAAAGUUUUCAGCCAAAGCACACACCUCAUCCAGCACCAGAGAAUCCACACAGGAGAGAAGCCCUACAAGUGCAGCGAGUGUGGGAAGGCCUUCCACAACAGUUCCAGACUCAUCCACCACCAGAGGCUGCACCACGGAGAGAAACCCUACAGAUGCAGCGAUUGCAAGAAGGCCUUCAGCCAGAGCACGUACUUGAUUCAGCACCGGAGGAUCCACACCGGGGAGAAGCCCUACAAGUGCAGCGAGUGUGGGAAGGCCUUCCGGCACAGUUCCAACAUGUGUCAGCAUCAGCGGAUUCACCUCCGGGAGGACUUCUCCAUGUAACAGUGGCGCGGUGUCCGAGGGCAGAGUCCAGCUGAGCACUUCCUGCAUGCGCCCCCGGCACCUGACUCUGCCCUUUAUGUAUUAUCCACACGAUGUUUUCACAGAGUGAAAGGACGUUUCUCAUUAAACAAACCUCUUUUCUUAAA
rnacentral:sRNA from 1 species